rnacentral:rRNA from 1 species
AACGAAUGCUGGCGGCGUGCUUAACACAUGCAAGUCGAACGCGAAAGUGCCUUCGGGUACGAGUAGAGUGGCGCACGGGUGAGUAAUGAAUAGGAACGUACCAUUUGGUGGGGAAUAACUUCGGGAAACCGGGGCUAAUACCGCAUAAGAUCGCAGGAUGAAAGGUGGCCUCUACAUGUAUGCUAUCGCCGAAUGAUCGGCCUAUUUCCCAUUAGCUUGUUGGUAGGGUAAAGGCCUACCAAGGCUACGAUGGGUAGCUGGUCUGAGAGGAUGAUCAGCCACACUGGAACUGAGACACGGUCCAG